AAUGAACGCUGGCGGCAGGCCUAACACAUGCAAGUCGAACGAAACCUUCGGGUUUAGUGGCGGACGGGUGAGUAACGCGUGGGAACAUACCCUUUGGUACGGAAUAGCCUCGGGAAACUGGGAGUAAUACCGUAUGUGCCCUUCGGGGGAAAGAUUUAUCGCCAAAGGAUUGGCCCGCGUUGGAUUAGGUAGUUGGUGGGGUAAUGGCCUACCAAGCCGACGAUCCAUAGCUGGUUUGAGAGGAUGAUCAGCCACACUGGGACUGAGACACGGCCCAGACUCCUACGGGAGGCAGCAGUGGGGAAUCUUAGACAAUGGGCGCAAGCCUGAUCUAGCCAUGCCGCGUGAUCGAUGAAGGCCUUAGGGUUGUAAAGAUCUUUCAGAUGGGAAGAUAAUGACGGUACCAUCAGAAGAAGCCCGGCUAACUCCGUGCCAGCAGCCGCGGU
rnacentral:rRNA from 1 species